rnacentral:rRNA from 1 species
CUACGGGAGGCUGCAGUGAGGAAUUUUGCGCAAUGGGGGAAACCCUGACGCAGCAACGCCGCGUGAGUGAUGAAGGCCUUCGGGUCGUAAAGCUCUGUCAAGUGGGAAGAACCCACCCUGUGCUAAUAUCACAGGGUGCUGACGGUACCACUGAAGGAAGCACCGGCUAACUCCGUGCCAGCAGCCGCGGUAAUACGGAGGGUGCAAGCGUUAUUCGGAAUUACUGGGCGUAAAGGGCGCGUAGGCGGCCUUUUAAGUCAGAUGUGAAAUCCCGGGGCUCAACCCCGGAAGUGCAUCUGAACUAAGAGGCUUGAGUAUGGGAGAGGGAAGUGGAAUUCCUGGUGUAGAGGUGAAAUUCGUAGAUAUCAGGAGGAACACCGGUGGCGAAGGCGACUUCCUGGACCAAUACUGACGCUGAGGCGCGAAGGCGUGGGGAGCAAACAGGAUUAGAUACCCGGGUAGUC